UCUCUCUCUCUCUCUCUCUCUCUCUCUCUCUCUCUGUCUCUCUCUCUCUCUCUCUCUCUGUCUCUCUCUCUCUCUAUCUCUCUCUCUCUCUCUCUCUCAGCUUUGAUGUCAGCUGGAUGCUGUACCACCAACUGUAGAAAUGUGAAAAUAUGGGACAGCUUCGAUGCCUCUUCUUGACCACACUGCACCCCAGCUGGGACGUUUGGGGUGAGACGUACCUCCUCAACGGUGGGAUAAGGAGUGUCCAACACUCCUGCUGCCCUGGCCCAAACAGACACUAGGACAACUGGACACUCCUCUCCAAGAUCCUGAUGUUCUGUCCCAUCCGUCCUCACAUACUACUAUGUUUUCAUUUCUACAUAUCUAGAGUUCGGGACAAUUUGGGGGAAAAUUUGGGAAUGCUAUUAGGACAGAUGGAUGGCAUUCCCAAAGACUGCCACAGCUAAAUGGAUGAGAGCUAGACUGGAUACCGCAUAUGAGCUCCCUGUCAACCACCAUGGCAUGACCUACCCCCCAGAGAGGGAAAGAUGCAGGGGAAGAAGUGAAAAGGAGAGAAGAAGAGGACCACUCCUCUCUGUUUACAGAUUAAUCUCAUCAGUCUGGGGUCCACUAUCUCUCUCUCUCGUUCUCUCUCUUUAUCUAUUUUUAUCUCUCUUUCUCUUGCUCUCUCCUCUUCCUCCCUCUGCCUCUACCCUUUCUCUCUUAAUCUCUCUCAAUCUCUAUCUCUUAUUAUCUCUCUCUUAUUAUCUCUUUAUCUCUCUCUCUCUCUCUCUCUCUCUCUCUCUCUCUCCGUUCCUCUUUCUGCCUCAGCCUCUCCCCUCUCUCUUAAUCUCUAUAUCUUCCCCUUCACUUCCACUUUCUUCUUCUCUUUCCUCUCUCCCCUGCUAUCUCGCUCUCUCCCACCACCCCCUUUCUCCUUCCAUCCCUCCCUCUCCCCCUCUCCCUCCCUCCCCCUCCUUCCCACCCUACCUCCAGCAGCCUCCACAGAUAUUCAUCAUCUUCUUCUGUGUACUGAGACAGUAGUAAUCUAAUGUUCCUCCCCUCGUCUGCAGCCACAAAUCUAGAUGAUAAGAUUAUCCUAUCCUCUCCCAGUCAUCAUCUCAAACUUUUGUUGACCAAUUUCAUUAAACAGAGUGAAAAAGCUGAAGUUUGUGUUAAAGGGAAAGUUCAGCGGAAUUGCAUAUUUAGAUAUUUGUUUCCUCACCUUGAAAACAGUUUCUCAAAUAUCUAAUUUUGCUGAACUAUCCCUUUUUUAGAAGUUCCUAGGCAAUUUACCCUCCACCACCAACAUGCUGUGUCUUAUUACAAAACUACAAAAUGGCCGCCAAUGUUAGCUUGUUGGGUAACGUUGUAGUUCUAACCAGAUACAGUGUUACGGUGUUAGCCUAGUUUUCUUUUUUGUAAAAUCUUGCUCCCUUCCGAGCACCUAUAUUUCCAGCUAGGGAGGUGAGUAUACAUUCUCCAUGUUGUUUUAUACAAGAAAGGUAAAGUCAAAGUACAUAGUAGUUUAUUGGGAUUAGUUUUCUAUAUAUAUAUAUUAUAUAUAAUGAUUAUUAUUUUUGACUGGUAUUAGAACAAUUAUAUGAAGAUAUCUAUGUAUACAAAAUAAUAAAGAUUCUUCUUUAUGUAAA